rnacentral:snRNA from 15 species
AGCUUUGCACAGUGGCAGUAUUGUAGCCAAUGAGGUUUAUCUGAGGCACGAUUAUUGCUAAUUAAAAGCAAAUGUGAAUUAAAUA